rnacentral:rRNA from 1 species
UACGUAGGGUGCAAGCGUUAAUCGGAAUUACUGGGCGUAAAGCGUGCGCAGGCGGUUAUGUAAGACAGAUGUGAAAUCCCCGGGCUUAACCUGGGAACUGCGCUUGUAACUGGCAAGCUUGAGUGUGGCAGAGGGGGGUGGAAUUCCACGUGUAGCAGUGAAAUGCGUAGAGAUGUGGAGGAACACCGAUGGCGAAGGCAGCCCCCUGGGCUAACACUGACGCUCAUGCACGAAAGCGUGGGGAGCAAACAGG